AUACGGAGGGUGCGAGCGUUAAUCGGAAUUACUGGGCGUAAAGCGUGCGUAGGCGGUUUGUUAAGUCAGAAGUGAAAGCCCUGGGCUCAACCUGGGAACGGCUUUUAAGACUGGCAGACUCGAGUUGAGUAGAGGGGAGUGGAAUUUCCGGUGUAGCGGUGAAAUGCGUAGAGAUCGGAAGGAACACCAGUGGCGAAGGCGACUCCCUGGACUCAAACUGACGCUGAGGUACGAAAGCGUGGGUAGCAAACAGGAUUAGAAACCCUAGUAGUCC
rnacentral:rRNA from 1 species